UACGGAGGGGGCUAGCGUUGUUCGGAAAUACUGGGCGUAAAGCGAACGUAGGCGGCGUGGCAAGUCAGGGGUGAAAUCCCGGAGCUCAACUCCGGAACUGCCUUUGAAACUGCUAUGCUAGAAUCCUGGAGAGGCGAGUGGAAUUCCGAGUGUAGAGGUGAAAUUCGUAGAUAUUCGGAAGAACACCAGUGGCGAAGGCGACUCGCUGGACAGGUAUUGACGCUGAGGUUCGAAAGCGUGGGGAGCAAACAGG
rnacentral:rRNA from 1 species